AGAAAUUUAGGUUAUAAAAACUUUUGAUUUUCAAAGUCGAUAUAAUAAGUUAAAUCUUAUAAGUUCUG
rnacentral:tRNA from 1 species